rnacentral:rRNA from 1 species
UGGCGGCGUGCCUAUAAUGGCAGUCCUGCGGACUCUUUCGGGGGUCAGCGGCGGACGGGUGAGUAAAGCGUGGGUAACCUGCCGGACAGACGGGGAUAACGCCUGCAAACGGGGGCUAAGCCCGGGUGGAUUCUCUCUUCGCAUGGAGGGGGAAGGGAAGGUGGCGCAAGUCACCGCUGUUCGAGGGGCCCGCGGCGCAUUAGCUCGUUGGCGGGGUAAAGGGCCCACCAAGGCGACGAGUGCGUAGCCGACCUGAGAGGGUGAGCGGCCACACUGGGACUGAGACACGGCCCAGACUCCUACGGGAGGCAGCAGUAGGGAAUCUUCGGCAGUGGGCGACAGCCUGACCGAGAGACGCCGCGUGAAGUGAAGACGGUCUUCGGAUUGUAAAGCUCUGUCAUGCGGGACGAGCGACAAGGAGAGGGCAUGCUCCUUGAGAGACGGUACCGCAAGAAGAAGCCCCGGCUAACUACGUGCCAGUAGCCGCGGUAAU